AAAGCCCUGCUUUCUACUUCAUUAAAGCAUCAGAUUUUUGCUUGUGUAAACACAAAAUGUUAGCAGCAGCAUUAGUGAUCACAUCUAAUGUUGAGCCCAUGUUGGUUUCAGUCUAGAGGUUUCUAUGUCUGAGCGCACUGUAGCUCAGGCUGCACACAUCAAUAUCUUAUAGACAGUGCUUACAAUUAGACAGUAUUUACAAAUGUAGGAUGCAACUCCAUAUUUUUAGAUAAGCAGCCAAAAGUUUGUGAAGUUUGUUCCCCAAAAGUGGGAACAGUAAGGGAGCUUAGUAAAUGGAAAAAUGGCUCUGUAUUACAAAAUUGUCUGAAUUAAUGAUAAAUUGGAUUUUUAACAGUCAAGAGGACAUGAAUAGGUUUCUCUCUGAAUAGUUUAGUUUUUGGUUUGGUUAAGUAAAGGUUGUUUAUAGAAGAUAGCUGAGCACCUCCCUGUAAGGAAUGCAGUAAUGAUCAAGAAAUAGGAUGUGACCCCCUGCCCAUAACCAACCUGGAGAGACUUGAUCCUGGAUGCAGCAUUUCCUAGGGCAGCUCAACUUGUGUAUCCACUGACUGGUUCUGGAGUGUCCUGGCUCGCCUUCAGAGAAUCAUGAGUUUGUAGGUCAGGCUGUAAAUAAAUUAAUAGAUUGCAAGACCAAA